rnacentral:rRNA from 1 species
UACGUAGGGGGCUAGCGUUAUCCGGAAUUACUGGGCGUAAAGGGAGCGUAGACGGUUGUAUAAGUCUGGAGUGAAAGCCCGGGGCCCAACCCCGGGACUGCUUUGGAAACUGUGUAACUUGAGUACAGGAGGGGCAGGCGGAAUUCCUGGUGUAGCGGUGAAAUGCGUAGAUAUCAGGAGGAACACCGGCGGCGAAGGCGGCCUGCUGGACUGAAACUGACGUUGAGGCUCGAAAGCGUGGGGAGCAAACAGG